UCCACGUUAUAUUCUUGUGUUGUGAUUGUGUCUUAAUUUUUUUUUAACUUAUGCUAUUUUUCCCAACAACUGGUAUCAAGAGCCAGGUUCGGAGGUUCGGUAGGAUAAUUUUUCUUAGUAUGCUCUGUGGUUGCUGCUUUGUCUGAUCUUCCACAUCAGAAAAGAAUUAUCCUUGGUAUUAUUAGGGGAAAGGUGAUUCUGUGAAAGUGCUGCUUAGGGAGGUUCUGGCUAAGGAAAGACGGUAUUUAAGCGUGUCUGUUGUGACCCACCUCUCUUUCC
rnacentral:lncRNA from 1 species